rnacentral:rRNA from 1 species
AUUGAACGCUGGCGGCAGGCCUAACACAUGCAAGUCGAACGAGUGGCGGACGGGUGAGUAAUGUCUGGGAAACUGCCUGAUGGAGGGGGCUAACUACUGGAAACGGUCGCUAAUACCGCAUACCAUCAGAUGUGCCCAGAUGGGAUUAGCUUGUUGGUGUGGUAAAGGCUCACCAAGGCGACGAUCCCUAGCUGGUCUGAGAGGAUGCCCAGCCAAACUGGAACUGAGACACGGUCCAGACGCGUACGUGAGGCAGCAGUGGGGAAUAUGGCACAAUGGGCGCAAGCCGGAUGCAGCCAGGCCGCGGGUAUGAAGAAGGCCGUCGGGUUGUAAAGUACUUUCAGCGGGGAGGCGUUACCCGCAGAAGAAGCACCGGCUAACUCCGUGCCAGCAGCCGCGGUAAUUC